AUUGAACGCUGGCGGCAGGCCUAACACAUGCAAGUCGAACGGUAACAGGAAGCAGCUUGCUGCUUUGCUGACGAGUGGCGGACGGGUGAGUAAUGUCUGGGAAACUGCCUGAUGGAGGGGGAUAACUACUGGAAACGGUAGCUAAUACCGCAUAACGUCGCAAGACCGAAGAGGGGGACCUUCGGGCCUCUUGCCAUCGGAUGUGCCCAGAUGGGAUUAGCUAGUAGGUGGGGUAACGGCUCACCUAGGCGACGAUCCCUAGCUGGUCUGAGAGGAUGACCAGCCACACUGGAACUGAGACACGGUCCAGACUCCUACGGGAGGCAGCAGUGGGGAAUAUUGCACAAUGGGCGCAAGCCUGAUGCAGCCAUGCCGCGUGUAUGAAGAAGGCCUUCGGGUUGUAAAGUACUUUCAGCGGGGAGGAAGGGAGUAAAGUUAAUACCUUUGCUCAUUGACGUUACCCGCAGAAGAAGCACCGGCUAACUCCGUG
rnacentral:rRNA from 1 species